rnacentral:rRNA from 1 species
UGGGGAAUAUUGGACAAUGGGCGCAAGCCUGAUCCAGCAAUGCCGCGUGUGUGAAGAAGGCCUUCGGGUUGUAAAGCACUUUUAUCAGGAACGAAAUACCACGGGUUAAUAACCUAUGGGGCUGACGGUACCUGAGGAAUAAGCACCGGCUAACUUCGUGCCAGCAGCCGCGGUAAUACGAAGGGUGCAAGCGUUAAUCGGAAUUACUGGGCGUAAAGGGUGCGUAGGCGGUUAUUUAAGUCUGCCGUGAAAUCCCCGGGCUCAACCUGGGAAUGGCGGUGGAUACUGGAUAGCUAGAGUGUGUCAGAGGAUGGUGGAAUUCCCGGUGUAGCGGUGAAAUGCGUAGAGAUCGGGAGGAACAUCAGUGGCGAAGGCGGCCAUCUGGGACAACACUGACGCUGAAGCACGAAAGCGUGGGGAGCAAACAG